UACAGAGGGUGCAAGCGUUAAUCGGAAUUACUGGGCGUAAAGGGUGCGUAGGUGGAUACGUAAGUCAGAUGUGAAAUCCCCGGGCUUAACCUGGGAACUGCAUAUGAUACUGCGAAUCUAGAGUAUGGUAGAGGUAAGUGGAAUUUCCGGUGUAGCGGUGAAAUGCGUAGAUAUCGGAAGGAACAUCAGUGGCGAAGGCGACUUACUGGACUAAUACUGACACUGAGGCACGAAAGCGUGGGGAGCAAACAGG
rnacentral:rRNA from 1 species